AGGAUUAGAUACCCUGGUAGUCCACACUGUAAACGAUGAAUACUAGGUGUGCGGGGACUGACCCCCUGCGUGCCGCAGUAAACACAAUAAGUAUUCCACCUGGGGAGUACGAUCGCAAGGUUGAAACUCAAAGGAAUUGACGGGGGCCCGCACAAGCGGUGGAUUAUGUGGUUUAAUUCGAAGCAACGCGAAGAACCUUACCAGGGUUUGACAUCCUGCUAACGAAGUAGAGAUACAUUAGGUGCCCUUCGGGGAAAGCAGAGACAGGUGGUGCAUGGUUGUCGUCAGCUCGUGUCGUGAGAUGUUGGGUUAAGUCCCGCAACGAGCGCAACCCCUAUUGUUAGUUGCUACGCAAGAGCACUCUAGCGAGACUGCCGUUGACAAAACGGAGGAAGGUGGGGACGACGUCAAAUCAUCAUGCCCCUUAUAUCCUGGGCUACACACGUAAUACAAUGGCGGUCAACAGAGGGAAGCAAAGCCGCGAGGCAGAGCAAACCCCCAAAAAGCCGUCCCAGUUCGGAUUGUAGGCUGC
rnacentral:rRNA from 1 species